rnacentral:rRNA from 1 species
AAUAUUGCGCAAUGGGGGCAACCCUGACGCAGCGACGCCGCGUGGAUGAUGAAGGCCUUCGGGUCGUAAAAUCCUGUCAGAUGGAAAGAAGUGUAUAGUGGUUAAUACCUGCUAUGCUUGACGGUACCAUCGAAGGAAGCACCGGCUAACUCCGUGCCAGCAGCCGCGGUAAUACGGAGGGUGCAAGCGUUGUUCGGAAUUACUGGGCGUAAAGCGCGCGUAGGCGGUUUGCUAAGUCAGAUGUGAAAGCCCAUGGCUCAACCAUGGACGUGCAUUUGAAACUGGCAGACUUGAGUAUUGGAGGGGGUGGUGGAAUUCCCGGUGUAGAGGUGAAAUUCGUAGAUAUCGGGAGGAAUACCGGUGGCGAAGGCGACCACCUGGCCAAAUACUGACGCUAAGGUGCGAAAGCGUGGGGAGCAA